rnacentral:lncRNA from 13 species
AAAGAAAAAAAAUAGAUGCUGGAGUGGAGAGGGCAGCAUGGGCUUGUCUGUCCAUGUAAUAAAAUACUGUGGAGUGGAAAGGAAAAGAAGCCAUGUAGGAAAAGGAGAAGAAAGAAGAGGGAAGUAAUCAGUUCUCCUCUUUUCUCCAACCUUUUUCCCGCAUCUUGGAGCUUCUAAUGGUCGGCAGAAGACUCCAGCAUCACCAGACAGUGCCACAUACAGAAACAGCUACCUGUCCUGAAGCCGUUGGCUUUCUAGGGCUCCAGGCUUGCCUCUCCAAAUGCCUGCUUUGGAGCUUCCCUUGAAUGUCUCAUAGGAUUUCGCGUCAAGCUCAGCGUGGCCAAAACAGAGUCCAUCUUCCCACUCACCACCUGCUUCUGCUCUUGAGCUCAGUUCAAACAUUUCAUCCUCCUCGAAACCCUGCUGGAGUGUGCCUAGGACACGGUAAACCACAAUGCAUUUCGGUGAGGGGAUGAAUGAUUCAACCAAUCAAUGAAUAAACCGAUUAAUAAAAGAUGGAUUUCUUGCCUGUCUUUGAGAACUGAGAGAGGCUCAGUAAUUGGACAGAUGAAGACGUGUGGAAACAGUUUCGUUAUUACCAGCAAAGGUGAGGCUAGAGACUGUAUCAUAAACAGGUUUGUCCGGGUGGUUAAUUUCUCUCUACCCUUGCUGUUGCUUGUCCAUCCAUCCCCAGACCCCUCUGGAAAUCAAGCCUGCCUCUAG